UACGUAGGGGGCAAGCGUUGUCCGGAUUUAUUGGGCGUAAAGAGCUCGUAGGUGGUUCGGUAAGUCGGAUGUGAAAUCUCCAGGCUCAACCUGGAGGGGUCAUUCGAUACUGCCGUGACUAGAGGUCGGUAGGGGAGUGUGGAAUUCCUGGUGGAGCGGUGAAAUGCGCAGAUAUCAGGAGGAACACCAGCGGCGAAGGCGGCGCUCUGGGCCGGUACUGACGCUGAGGAGCGAAAGCGUGGGUAGCAAACAGG
rnacentral:rRNA from 1 species